UAGUUGUGGAUAUGUGGGUUUAUGUGCCAACAUUUAACCCUCCGUGUUAUUUGAAAUAUUUUAUGAUUAGUAUUUUUUGUUAUUAUUAGAUGAUAAAAUAUAUAUGAAAAGUGUUUUAUGCAUUUGACUUUUUUAUUUUUUUCAUAAAUUUUACAAAUAUGACGGACGGUCAAAUAUUGGACACGAAAACUUACAACUGCACUUGAA
rfam:Oryza sativa (indica cultivar-group) chromosome 8, whole genome shotgun sequence.